rnacentral:misc_RNA from 1 species
GAUGAAGAACGCAGCGAAAUGCGAUAAGUAAUGUGAAUUGCAGAAUUCAGUGAAUCAUCGAAUCUUUGAACGCACAUUGCGCCCGAAGCCAUCAGGUUGAGGGCACGUCUGCCUGGGCGUCACAUAUCGUUGCUCGAUGCCUAUCGCAUUGCGAUAGGACUUAGGGCGAAUGAUGGCUUCCCGUGAGCGUUGUUGCCUCGCGGUUGGUUGAAAAUCGAGUCCUUGGUAGGGUGUGCCAUGAUAGAUGGUGGUCGAGUUAGCACGAGACCGAUCAUGUGCAUGCUCCCCAAAAUAUGGCCUCUGUGACCCACACACGUCUUUUGACGCUCAUGACGAGACCUCAGGUCAGGCGGGGCUACCCGCUGAAUUUAAGCAUAUCAAUAAGCGGAGGA